AAGCCAAUCACUGUGAGCACAUAAUAGGUGUGGGAAUGAUGGCUCCCCUAUCUCCUUCAGUUGUCACAGAACUGAUGGAGACAUAGGAUGUGUGAUGGUCACUCCAGGAGUGGGGGGUGGCAUGGGGACAGGCAAGGCAUCUCUGCCACUCCAUGGCCCCUGCCCACUUGCUGGUCCCAAUGUGCACAAGGAUCUGCCCACCUCACCAGACAAAACAGAAAACUCUCAGCUCCUCCCACAUCAUGUCUACCUGGACCCGGCUAUGUUCCCACCUUGAUGAUAAUGGAUUGAAACUCUGAACCUGUGAGCCAGCCCCAAUUAAAAGUCCUUU
rnacentral:lncRNA from 1 species